rnacentral:rRNA from 1 species
GAUGAACGCUGGCGGCGUGCCUAAUACAUGCAAGUCGAGCGAACAGACGAGGAGCUUGCUCCUCUGACGUUAGCGGCGGACGGGUGAGUAACACGUGGAUAACCUACCUAUAAGACUGGGAUAACUUCGGGAAACCGGAGCUAAUACCGGAUAAUAUAUUGAACCGCAUGGUUCAAUAGUGAAAGACGGUUUUGCUGUCACUUAUAGAUGGAUCCGCGCCGCAUUAGCUAGUUGGUAAGUUAACGGCUUACCAAGGCGACGAUGCGUAGCCGACCUGAGAGGGUGAUCGGCCACACUGGAACUGAGGCCCGGUCCAGACUCCUACGGGAGGCAGCAGUAGGGAAUCUUCCGCAAUGGGCGAAAGCCUGACGGAGCAACGCCGCGUGAGUGAUGAAGGUCUUCGGAUCGUAAAACUCUGUUAUUAGGGAAGAACAAAUGUGUAAGUAACUAUGCACGUCUUGACGGUACCUAAUCAGAAAGCCACGGCUAACUACGUG